rnacentral:pre_miRNA from 1 species
CAGUAAUACUAGAUCGAUGGCUGAACAAGUUAGAUCACUAGUUUCCGAUUCAAUCAAUUCGAUCGCCAGACCAACAAUAAUUAAAGAAAUAAUUAAAAAUUCAUAAAAUCUAAAAAAUCAAAUAAAUAAAAAAAUUUAUUAUACCGAUUCAACCUGUUCAACUAUCGAUUUUGUCAUGAUU